rnacentral:rRNA from 1 species
GGAUUGUAAACUUCUUUUAUAUGGGAAUAAAGUGCACCACGUGUGGUGUUUUGUAUGUACCAUAUGAAUAAGGAUCGGCUAACUCCGUGCCAGCAGCCGCGGUAAUACGGAGGAUCCGAGCGUUAUCCGGAUUUAUUGGGUUUAAAGGGAGCGUAGGCGGAUUGUUAAGUCAGUUGUGAAAGUUUGCGGCUCCACCGUAAAAUUGCAGUUGAUACUGGCAGUCUUGAGUGCAGUAGAGGUAAGCGGAAUUCGUGGUGUAGCGGUGAAAUGCUUAGAUAUCGCGAAGAACUCCAAUUGCGAAGGCAGCUUGCUGGACUGUAACUGACGCUGAUGCUCGAGAGUGUGGGUAUCAAACAGGAUUAGAUACCCUGGUAGUCCACACAGUAAA